rnacentral:rRNA from 1 species
GACGAACGCUGGCGGCGUGCUUAACACAUGCAAGUCGAGCGGUAAGGCCCUUCGGGGUACACGAGCGGCGAACGGGUGAGUAACACGUGAGCAAUCUGCCCUUCACUUUGGGAUAACCACCGGAAACGGUGGCUAAUACCGAAUAUGACCACUUCCUGCAUGGGAUGGUGGUGGAAAGUUCCGGCGGUGGAGGAUGAGCUCGCGGCCUAUCAGCUUGUUGGUGGGGUAAUGGCCUACCAAGGCAACGACGGGUAGCCGGCCUGAGAGGGUGACCGGCCACACUGGGACUGAGACACGGCCCAGACACCUACGGGUGGCUG